UGUUGUCCAUGCAAAAAGUCUCCUUUAGCGUCAUAUUUAGGCGCGCUUGCUCGGGACACUUGGCAUCACUUUUUGACGCUCUGGGUCGGGCUGUACGUUUAACUGACAUGCGGCACAAGAACUGGACUGUUAGGUUUAAGAAAAAUGGUGGGUGGGGUUAUAAAAUGUACAUUUCAGUGACACACGGGAAUAACGGGAC